UACGUAGGGGGGCAAGCGUUGUCCGGAAUCAUUGGGCGUAAAGAGCGUGUAGGCGGCCCGAUAAGUCCGCUGUGAAAGUCCAGGGCUCAACCCUGGAAUGCCGGUGGAUACUGUCGGGCUCGAAUCCGGAAGAGGUGAGUGGAAUUCCUGGUGUAGCGGUGAAAUGCGCAGAUAUCAGGAGGAACACCAAUGGCGAAGGCGCUCACUGGGACGGUAUUGACGCUGAGACGCGAAAGCGUGGGGAGCAAACAGG
rnacentral:rRNA from 1 species